GGGGAUUUAACUCAGCGGUGUAAGUGUCUGCCUUGCAAGCAGACAGUCGCGAGUUCGAUCCCCG
rnacentral:tRNA from 1 species